rnacentral:rRNA from 1 species
UACGAAGGGGGCUAGCGUUGCUCGGAAUCACUGGGCGUAAAGCGCACGUAGGCGGAUCUUUAAGUCAGGGGUGAAAUCCCAAGGCCCAACCUUGGAACUGCCUUUGAUACUGGGGAUCUCGAGUCCGGAAGAGGUUGGUGGAACUGCGAGUGUAGAGGUGAAAUUCGUAGAUAUUCGCAAGAACACCAGUGGCGAAGGCGGCCAACUGGUCCGGUACUGACGCUGAGGCGCGAAAGCGUGGGGAGCAAACAGG